rnacentral:rRNA from 1 species
UAGAGUUUGAUCCCGGCUCAGAUUGAACGCUGGCGGCAGGCCUAACACAUGCAAGUCGAGCGGUAACAGAAAAGAAGCUUGCUUCUUUUGCUGACGAGCGGCGGACGGGUGAGUAAUGCCUGGGAAUAUACCCUGAUGUGGGGGAUAACUAUUGGAAACGAUAGCUAAUACCGCAUAAUCUCUUCGGAGCAAAGAGGGGGACCUUCGGGCCUCUCGCGUCAGGAUUAGCCCAGGUGGGAUUAGCUAGUUGGUGGGGUAAUGGCUCACCAAGGCGACGAUCCCUAGCUGGUCUGAGAGGAUGAUCAGCCACACUGGAACUGAGACACGGUCCAGACUCCUACGGGAGGCAGCAGUGGGGAGUAUUGCGCAAUGGGGGAAACCCUGAUGCAGCCAUGCCGCGUGUAUGAAGAAGGCCUUCGGGUUGUAAAGUACUUUCAGUUGUGAGGAAGGCGUUGAAGUUAAUAGCUUCAGCGCUUGACGUUAGCAACAGAAGAAGCACCGGCUAACUCCGUGCCAGCAGCCGCGGUAAUACGGAGGGUGCGAGCGUUAAUCGGAAUUACUGGGCGUAAAGCGCAUGCAGGCGGUCUGUUAAGCAAGAUGUGAAAGCCCGGGGCUCAACCUCGGAACAGCAUUUUGAACUGGCAGACUAGAGUCCUGUAGAGGGGGGUAGAAUUUCA